rnacentral:rRNA from 1 species
GACGAACGCUGGCGGCGUGCCUAAUACAUGCAAGUCGAACGCAGUGGGGACGGGUGAGUAACACGUGGGUAACCUCCCAUAAGAGGGGAUAACACUUGGAAACAGGUGCUAAACCGAUACUGAUGGAUGGACCCGCGGUGCAUUAGCUAGUUGGUGUGGUAACGGCUCACCAAGGCCACGAUGCAUAGCUGACCUGCGAGGGUGAUCGGCCACACUGGAACUGAGACACGGCCCAGACGCCUACGGGAGGCAGCAGUGGGGAAUAUUGCACAAUGGGCGCAAGCCUGAUGCAGCCAUGCCGCGUGUAUGAAGAAGGCCUUCGGGUUGUAAAGUACUUUCAGCGGGGAGGCGUUACCCGCAGAAGAAGCACCGGCUAACUCCGUGCCAGCAGCCGCGGUAAUUC